AAGUUCGGGCUUGGGAUCGGUGUUCUGUAGAUUAGAAAAGGGAAAACAACAGCAUUCCCAAUACAGAAUGCACAGCACAACAGGUCCGGAGGGGUCAAAAAAUAAAUAAAAAUAAUCCAACUCACCUCAACUCACCCUAU